rnacentral:lncRNA from 1 species
CACCCGGCCAGACCCAGCCAGACCCGCUCAGCCCCAGCCGGCCCCGCUCAGCCCCGGCUCAGGCCGCCCCCACCGGGGGAUGCCCGGGGGCAGCGCCGUUACCUCGGGGUAGUUCUGGCCGAAGGACUCUGCGAAGGAACGGGAAAGCAGCGGCUGAGCGAGAGGCGGCCCCGCCGCGCCCGCUCCGGUACCGGCACCGGCCCUCCCCAUAUUCCCGGUGCCGCCGCUGCCGGCUCCAGCCCUGCCCCGCUCCCGGUGCCGCCCCCUCGUUCCCGCUCCCAUUCCCAUUCCCAUUCCCAGCCGCGCCUCCCUCGCUCCCGUUCCCGUUCGCACUGGGCAGCUCCAGGUUCGUGGUGCCGCCGUCCCGCCCCCGUUCCCUCCCCGCCGCCUCCGGUCCCGCAGUGCCCGCUCCGGUUCCCAUUCCCUCUCCCGUUCCCUCUCCGGUUCCAUUCCCAUUCUCGCUCCCACUCCUGUUCCUUUCCUGCUCCCGCUCCCCAUUCCCGCUCCCGUUCCCGCUCCCAGUCCGGUUCCCUCUCCCGCUCCCCUUUCCCCAUUCCCGCUCCCGUUCCCCCUCCCGCUCCCCGUUCCUAUUCCCGUUCCCAUCCCCGCUCUCACUCCCCGCUCCCGUUCCCUCUCCGGUUCCCAUCCCCGCUCCCGUUCCCUCUCCGGUUCCCGUUCCCCGUUCCCAUUCCCGUUCCCGCACCGAGCAGCUCCAGGUUCAUCGCGCCGCCGCCGCCGCUCCCGCUCCCUCCGCUCCCGUCGCCGAAGGACCCCGCAGGGGCCUGCCCGGCGCCGCGCGUCGCCGUUCGCCUGCCCAACCGCCGCUGCUUUUCCCCGCUCCGGCCACUGCUCCCGGCACUUCCCGGGCCGGCUCCGCCCGCUCCUCCCGGCGGGCUCGGGGAGCGGCGCCGCUCGCUCCCGGUGCGGCGGCGGCGCCGGGAAUGGGCGGCGGCGAUCAGGCAGAGCCGCGGGCAGCCCCGGCGCGGAGCGCGGAAUGGGCCGGGUGGGCCCCGCGGCCGCGCAGGAAGGUUCCGGGAAAGGGGGAGCGGUAAUAAAGUAGCACCAGUAAUUAAAUUAAUUAAAAUAAUUUUUAUUCUAAUAAUUAACUGA